UACGGGGGGGGCAAGCGUUGUUCGGAAUUACUGGGCGUAAAGGGCUCGUAGGCGGCCAACUAAGUCAGACGUGAAAUCCCUCGGCUUAACCGGGGAACUGCGUCUGAUACUGGAUGGCUUGAGAUUGGGAGAGGGAUGCGGAAUUCCGAGGUUGUAGCGGUGAAAUGACGUAGAUAUCUGGAGGAACACCGGUGGCGAAGGCGGCAUCCUGGACCAACACUGACGCUGAGUGAGCGAAAGCCAGGGGAGCAAACGGG
rnacentral:rRNA from 1 species